rnacentral:tRNA from 1 species
GAGGGUAUAACUCAGCGGUAGAGCAUUUGCUUAACAUGCACGAGGUCCUGGGUUCAAACCCCAGUGUCUCCA